rnacentral:rRNA from 1 species
AUUUGCCUUUAGGAGGGGGACAACAACUGGAAACGGUUGCUAAUACCCCAUAUGCUUUCGAGUGAAACGGUUUUUCCGCCUAAAGAGAAGCUUGCGGCUGAUUAGCUUGUUGGUAAGGUAAUGGCUUACCAAGGCGACGAUCAGUAUCUGGUUUGAGAGGACGAUCAGACACACUGGAACUGAGACACGGUCCAGACUCCUACGGGAGGCAGCAGUGGGGAAUUUUCCGCAAUGGGCGAAAGCCUGACGGAGCAAUAUCGCGUGAGGGAUGAAUGCCUAUGGGUUGUAAACCUCUUCUUUCAGGGAGGAAUCAAUGACGUUACCUGAAGAAUAAGCAUCGGCUAACUCCGUGCCAGCAGCCGCGGUAAGACGGAGGAUGCAAGUGUUAUCCGGAAUCACUGGGCGUAAAGCGUCUGUAGGUGGUUUGAUAAGUCAACUGUUAAAUCUUGAGGCUCAACCUCAAAACCGCAGUCGAAACUAUUAGACUAGAGUAUAGUAGGGGUAAAGGGAAUUUCCAGUGGAGCGGUGAAAUGCGUAGAGAUUGGAAAGAACACCGAUGGCGAAGGCACUUUACUGGGCUAUUACUAACACUGAGAGACGAAAGCUAGGGUAGCAAAUGG